rnacentral:rRNA from 1 species
UACGUAGGGUGCGAGCGUUAAUCGGAAUUACUGGGCGUAAAGCGUGCGCAGGCGGUUUGUUAAGACAGAUGUGAAAUCCCCGGGCUUAACCUGGGAACUGCAUUUGUGACUGGCAAGCUAGAGUAUGGCAGAGGGGGGUAGAAUUCCACGUGUAGCAGUGAAAUGCGUAGAGAUGUGGAGGAAUACCGAUGGCGAAGGCAGCCCCCUGGGCCAAUACUGACACUGAGGAGCGAAAGCCAGGGGAGCAAACGGG